UACGAAGGGGGCUAGCGUUGUUCGGAAUCACUGGGCGUAAAGGGCGCGUAGGCGGCUUUGUAAGUCAGGGGUGAAAUCCUGGAGCUCAACUCCAGAACUGCCCUUGAUACUGAGAGGCUCGAGUCCGGGAGAGGUGAGUGGAACUGCGAGUGUAGAGGUGAAAUUCGUAGAUAUCGGGAGGAACACCAGAGGCGAAGGCGGCCACCUGGACAGACACUGACGCUGAGACGCGAAAGCGUGGGGAGCAAACAGG
rnacentral:rRNA from 1 species